GAAAGUAUGGAUGUAGUUAAAGGGUGGAUGUAGUUAAAGGGUGGAUGUAGUUAAAGUAUGGAUGUAGUUAAAGGGUGGAUGUAGUUAAAGGGUGACCUGAAUGAAGCUCAGUGGUGGUAACGGACUCACAAAGCUACAAACACAGCAGCCCUGCAGUGAGACCCAGACAACACCGGGUCACAAACAACCAUCCAACAUGCUCCUGUAGCUGUGACUACAGCGUGUGGAUGGUAGUGACUGAUGGACAGGUGUCACUGUGUGUGGUUCACCUGUCAUCAGGGGGUCAAUGAUGUCAUGUAGUGUUAAAGCGCUUUGAGUGGUCAGAAGACAAGUGCUAUACAAGUACAGUCCAUUUACCUCAGUGGCCCCUCAGUGGUCCCUCAGUGGUCCCUCAGUGGCCCCUCAGUGGUCCCUCAGUGGUUCCUCAGUGGUCCCUCAGUAGUCCCUCAGUGGCCCCUCAGUGGUCCCUCAGUGGUCCCUCAGUGGCCCCUCAGUGGUCCCUCAGUGGUCCCUCAGUGUAGCCUCAGUGGUCCCUCAGUGUGCCCUCAGUGGUCCCUCAGUGGUUCCUCAGUGGUCCCUCAGUGGCCCCUCAGUGGUCCCUCAGUGGUCCCUCAGUGGUCCCUCAGUGGCCCCUCAGUGGUCCCUCAGUGGCCCCUCAGUGGUCCCUCAGUGGUCCUUCAGUGGGCCCUCAUGGGCCUCACAGGCUUCUGUCAGCUGUCAGAGAGUAAACAUCAUUUCCUCUGAUGUAAAUAACAUUUGAAAGGCGCUGCUCUUGUCGUUGUGCAUCAGUUCGAAUGGAUUGUUUGUAAAUAAAUGUGACCUGUGA
ensembl:lncRNA